rnacentral:rRNA from 1 species
AGCAGCCGCGGUAAUUCCAGCUCCAAUAGCGUAUAUUAAAGUUGUUGCAGUUAAAAAGCUCGUAGUUGAAUUUCAGGCCUGGCUGGACGGUCCGCCCUUCGGGUGAGUACUGUCUGUGGUCGGGUCCUACCUACUGGCGAAGCGUCAUGGCCUUAACCGGCCGUGGCGGGGAACCAGGACUUUUACUGUGAAAAAAUUAGAGUGUUCAAAGCAGGCAAUCGCUUGGAUACAUUAGCAUGGAAUAAUGGAAUAGGACAAUGGUUCUAUUUGUUGGUUUCUAGGACCGUUGUAAUGAUUAAUAGGGAUAGUUGGGGGCAUUAGUAUUCAAUUGUCAGAGGUGAAAUUCUUGGAUUUAUUGAAGACUAACUACUGCGAAAGCAUUUGCCAAGGAUGUUUUCAUUAAUCAAGAACGAAAGUUAGGGGAUCGAAGACGAUCAGAUACCGUCGUAGUCUUAACCAUAAACUAUGCCGACUAGGGAUCGGGCGAUGUUGAAAAAAUGACGC